GAGCAGCAACAUGCAGAGGUCUGUGAAGACAAACAAACCUGGUUAUAGACUAAGCCUACAAACAAGAUACGAAAUAAUAUUUUAGGAAUGAAGUGCCCAUCUAUAUUGACAACCACACUAUGUAUAUAUCCCUUAUUUCUUCUGUUCCUUAACUUCUUAUAGAAUGUAAAAAGUAAAGAAAAAUAAAAUUAUUUUCCUUUAUUUAAAAGUAAAAAAAGGAAAAAUUUAAAGCUGCAUACUCAUUCCUCUCAACAGCAAAGAACAUUUCUGCAACAAAAAGUAUGUACUAGUAAAACUAGUUCCUUUUUAUGACAUGACAUUGUGAGGGAAUAACUCUUAAUCUGGCAUGCUUUAUUAUAACAAAAAUAUUAAAAAGAACUUGUUAAAAGGAUGGCAACAAAUGUUCCCCUUUCCACUUUAGUAUUAUUAUAGCAGCUAGUUGUGUCCAUAAUUAAAAUAAUUAAUCUUUCACUGCAAUCUGAAAGUAGAUUGCAGCACAUCGGAGGAAUUAUGCAGGUCACUGGCAAUAGUCUUUUAUUAGAGUACCACUAGCAGGAUGCUAAUCAUAGUCUAUUAUAUAAAAUAGUUUAAAUCAAUGUUCCCUCUAAUUUUUUACAUCCAUGUGCAGAAUUAAUUUUGUUAUGUUCACCAAUAUGGAGGUUGGGAGGUAUGGGGUGGGACCGAGGGGUUUGGAGUGUGGAGAGGGGCUCAGGGCUGGGGCAGAGGGUUGGGGUUCAGGCCCUACCACUUGAAUUCAAGUGGUUUGCAUGUGAGGUGCUGAGUCAGCAUACCUCGGUUAUGUAGAGUGGGAUAUUUUUCAAAAGCAGUCAGCAUUGGCUUAACUCUGCUCCCACUGAAGUUCUCCCACUGACUCCAGUGAAGGAGAGGUAAGCAAACACUAAGUGCUUCUGGAAAUCCCAUCCAGAAACUUUAAUCUUUACUUCCUCAAAUGCAGGUCUACUAACACAAAUGGGAGUAAUUAUAAUUUUAAAAGAACUCUCUCAUACCUCCCACACUGAAGCUGAUCAUAAAAAACACCCCAACACUGGUGUUUGCUUUUUAAGUCUUUAAAGAUAUCUGUAUAGAAGUUCAUAACAUUUGCUGUUACUUUAAACUAGCUUAUCCUACCAAAUCUUUCUUCUUCUAUUUGAAAACACAGCUGUGUGCUAUCACCUGCUCUUCCUAAUGAAACUACAUUUUAUCAAAGGUUCUCUGUUAACAGCUUGCUUGAUUGGGCAUUCAUACUUUUGAUGUCAGGAUGUGCUCAGGGACGGAGCAUUGCUGACGUAAAACCAGCAGAGGGAGCUAAAUUACUUUUCAGGGUAGUGUAAACCUGGCAAUAGGUUUUUACUACAGCUGGUCAAAAUUUUGCACACAAAAAUUUGGAACUCCUUUUCUCUUGAAAUUUUGACAAACAGGAAUAAAAUUGUGCAGAAAUUCUCAGUUUCUCCCCUCCCCAUCCCCAAAUGUUUUUUUACUGGCUUGUUGCAUGCCUUUGGUCCGUGAUGGUAUAUGGAAUUUUGCUUAAUUAUUUAAUAGAAAUCUUUAAGACAGAGUACAUUCCCAACCAAAUUUAAGGUACCACAGAUUUUUGUGCUACACUAUUUGAUGAUAUUGUUAUAGUUGAAAGCUUUGCAUUAGAAGUAGUCACUUAAAGUACACAUACUCUCUGUACUGGUAAAAAGUGGCAAUAGUAGUUGCAAUUAAACUGCAGCCAGUGAUACAAAACUAUAUAAACCUUGCUGAGUACACUCUUUUGCACUCCCGGUUCUUUUCUUUGUAAUUAGUGAUUUUAAAUAGGUUCUAAUCUUUUAACCAUUAGUAACCCCAGUACCCUUUCCCAGGAUUGUGGUAGUCUUAAGAGCCAAGUUUUAACCUGACUUACUUACUGUGAAACUAGUUAAAGUGAAUGCAUUGCAGCAGGGGGGAAAGCACCUCUCCCCCGCCACAGCAGCUCCGGGACUGGGGCCGUGGGAGAAGCGCCUCUCCCCUGCUGCAGCCCUGUAUGCCCCAAGUAACUUGCUCCCCACCCUACUCCCUACCUCUGCGCGGCCUUUGGUACCCAGAGCUUAGAGGGAACUUAGGUUGAAAUACUAAUGCCUUUCUUUUAGAUUGGUUUCUGAAAGCCAGAAGUUAAUCUAAGAUCUCCAACUGUCUCUGCAGAUAGAAUAAUUUCCUCAAAAUACAAGGCACGAAGUGGCAAAAAAACACACAGCACAACGAUUUAAUUAUUUACUCAAAACCUUCAACUAUUAGAUGUAACUUUAAAUUUUCAAGGCACAUCCAUCAGGCAAAGCGGACAGAUUUACCUCCAACAUUAUAAAUGCAUCCUCUUUUAAAGCAUCAGUCGAAGAGGAGUGGUAAUCUAAAUUUAUCUAAUUGAUUUUAAAAAGAAACCACAACAGGGCACACAGUAUAGCCAAUAACUUUGGUAGAUCACUUCAGUUCUAUAUUGACUUUCAUUUAUUAUGACGUUUGUAAAAAUCCCUAAAUUAAUCUCACCACACAGAAAUAAAGCUCAUAGUGUGCGGGCAGAAGGGAAAGAAGAGGUUACACACUUUGUGCAGUAACUGUGGUUCUUCAUGUGUCCCCUGAGGGAUGGCUCCACUUCACAUGCACAUGCACCUCUCGAGCCCUUGGUUGGAGAUUUUCAGUUAGUGUCUAUCUGGCCCACACAUAUGCCUUAAUGCUUCCUCAUGUUUAAUACCGAGGCUGUAUAGGGAUGCCUGGGCAAACCACCCUCAGCUCCUUCUCCACCUAAAUGUCCUGUAAGGAACAGUCUGAAGCAGAGGGGAAGGAGAGCACCUAUAGGGACACACGUCUUGAAGAACUGCAAUUACUGCACCAAGUGAGUAGCGUGUCUAUGGGUGCUCCACUUCAGAUGAUUUCCAAGCAGUAUUCCCAGAUGGAGGAGGGAGCUUUAGAAUAGAGUCCAGAACUGAAGACAGUACUGCAGAACAAAGUGCUGCAUUGGAUCUGGCAACAUGGAUCAGGGCAUAAUGUUUCAAAAAUGUACAUGUAGUGGCCCUAUAUAAUUCAGAUAUUGCUAUAUUCUUCAAUAAUGCUGUAGAUGCUGCCUAAGAUCUAGUUGAAUGUGUUAUCACCCUUUCAGUGGUAGUGGUGGUGGGGGGAAGUGGAUGAAUGCCUGCAACAUCAUGACAAGUAAUACAUCCACAUAUGCAUCUUGAUAAUCUCGAAGUAGAGACUGAGGACCCCGUGGAUCCAUCCAUGAAGGAAAUGAAGAGCUUAUAUGGAUUUCCUAAAUUGCUUGGUCCUAUCGAAGUAGAAAGCCAAUGCCCUUCUAACAUCCAAGCUCCAACAGAUAAUCAAAGCAGCACCAAAUCAGGCAAGAGGCAACAAUACCACCAAUGGAAGACUCUCUUCCAUUGCUACAGGUAAGUAGUGCAGGUUGAUCGUUCUUUAGUAUUCAGAAUUGCCUGUUGUACUUCUAUAGAGCAGGAGGAUUCUCUAUGACCCAUCAAGGAGCCAUGCCCUGAGGCGGAGAAUUGCUAGGUUGGGAUGAAGCAUACAACCAGUAUCAUGUGACAGUAGGUGAGGAAUAGCUGGGAGCCAAGACAACAGUUGGACACAUAUGUGAAGCAGGUAAGGGUACCAAGCUUGUUUUGGCCAUGUUGGUUCUGCCCUGUCUGAUCUUGUUCAUCACCAUCAGUAGUAGCAGUGUUUGAGGAAAUGCAUACAGACCCUUCUUCCAAGAUAGAAGAAAGGCAUCUCCCUAGGAGUGGUGGCCCAGACCCCCUCUAGAGCAGAAAACAGCACACUUAUUGUUACUGGAGGUGGCAAAUAGAUCCACUUCUGGCAGUCCCCAUUUUAGGAAUAUUCUGUGGAGACCUUGGGUAUCUAGCUUCCAUUCCUAAUCCUGUGAGAAGUGUCUGCUGAGGACAUCAGCUGUGGUGUUCUGAAUACCUGGGAGGUAGACUGGUGAAAUUUGGAUCUGAUGAGCUAUGUGCCAAUUCCACAGUUUCACGACUUUGCUGCACAGGGAGGAGUAUCAGGGUGAUUUCUUGAGUUGUUCACGUGGCCUGAGUUGUGAGGGUAUUGAGGAAGGCUCCCCAUCCCAACAGUGAUGUAUCUGUUGUUAAAGUCACUGAUGGGGCUGGGCAACAGAAAGGAACACCUUCAUAGACAUUGAGUUGAUCCUUCUACCAAUCUGAAGAGUCCCUCACUUGCAGAGGAACCAUCAACUGUCUGUCCAAGAUGUGUUUGAUUGGAUAAUAUGCUGCUUUGAGCCAACUCUGGAAGCAAUGUAAAGGUAGCCUUGUGUGAUUUGUCAAAAAGGUGCAAGUUGCCACAUGUCCCAGGACCUGAAGUCCAUUCCUUAUUGUGGUCCAAGGGCUCCCCUGAACUGCCCAUUCAGACAUGACAAAGUUAAGAAGCUGUCUAAAGGAAGAUGGGUUCUGGCUGUCAAUGAGUCCAAAUAUGCCCCUAAAAACUCUUCUGUACAGGGGUUAGAUGUGGACGUUUUUCCAUUCAGCUAUAGAUCCAACUCUGGACCACCGCAAGGACCAUCUGGGUAGAGGACAGCACUGCUUCGUAGGAACGGCCCUUGAGUAGCCAGUUGUCAAGGUAUGGGAAGAAUAGGAUUGCUUCUUGUCAGAGGUGUACAUAUACCCAAGGAUUAUAAAGUAGCCCUAGACUCCUUUAGAGUAUGCAAGGACUCAUCUGUGGUUUCCAAGAGCAGCUUACAACCAUUGAAGGGGAGGUCCCUCCACGGUGUUCUCUAUUUCUCAGAAAUCCCAAGGGAUGGAGCCAAGAUGCCCUGCACACCACCACCAACACUAUGGGCUGAACGGACAUUGCUAACUGAAAAUCUCCGAUCAAGGGCUUGAGAGGCAUAUGUGCACCGAAGAGGAGCAUCUAUAGGGACACUACUUGAAGAAGAAUUGCACCUAUUGUCUGUAGCUCAAAAUAUUAAAGUUAAAGAAGUAAGAAGCAUUUAACACCAUGAAUAAACUGAAAUCCAUUUGAAAAAGUUAUUUACAAUUUGGGCCUACUUCUGCCAGCAUUCACCCUGCUAAAAAAACUUUACAUAAUUUGUGAUGCACUUGGUUUAAGAACUCAGUAUAAUGGACUGUAAAAUAAGCCUCCAUACCAGUAAAAUAUUUUAAACAUUAAAAUUAUUCAGAUUUUGUGCAGCUCAGUGCAUGACACUUCUUGCCAGUGAGUAAAAGGUCACUGAUUUUUCCUGGAGAUCCACAUCAGCCGUAUGGUUGAUUCAGGUUGUUUGGAAGAAGUUAGAAGAGACUGUCUCCACCCUCCUUAGUGUGUCCCCAUUCUCUUUAUCUUCUUUUGUUCCCCCUUUUGUCUCCCAGGUUGUUUUCUCUCCACCUCUUUCUGCCUCUCAUUAGCCAUGCGCCAGGGCAACCAGCCACUGCCUCAGCUACAUUCUUCUUCUUGCUUAGUGUGUUCCAUGCUGCUUAAGAUCCAAUAUGGUGAGCAGCAAGAGCAGGAGCCUAGCUGUCUAAUUCCCAAAUCAAAGCAGCCCCUAAUUGACAGAAGGUGAUACUGUAAGGAAAUCCCUUGAGCAACAAUUGAAUGAGAGAGAUUCCAACAGGGGAGCAGGAACAAGACAAGGUGGCUAAUACUAAAACAUCCAAGAGUCAUUUAGCAGCCCUGAUAAAUUUUUAUGUUUUCCUCUGAUUGUUAAGGCCUAAUUAAAAGAUUUUAAAAAUCCGUGUGGGUAGGUGUUCUAGGCUGCCAAUAUCACUUAAGAGAAAAUAAAAACAGAAGAAUCAGUUACUAAAAUCUUCCAUCCCAGUUCCAAAUAAAUACAUUUCACAGUUUUAUAGUACGAAAUGCUUCUUACAUUUGAAUUUCCCUAUAACCGGGCUCAAAAAAUAGAGUUCUGAGAUAAAAGUUUUUAGACGUAAUGUUAGCUAGAAAAUACCCGAUUGCCACAUUGUUUUAAUAAAAGUAAACAAAAAGUACUCUCCAGCUAGCAUUUUCAUAAUUAGUUAACUCACCUGCUUUUUUUUUUAAAACAGCAAAUCAGACAUUUGUAGCAAUCAUUGGAAUUAACUACUAUUUAAUUUUUAAUAGAAAAAGCUGAAUAGUGGUUAUAAAGAAGUAACAUCACAAGACUACUGUCCUCCAGAUCAUCUCAGGAUUAGUGUCAUUCCUGGUAGAAUUCUUUUAGCCAUGAUGACCUAAGAUUUUUCCAGCAUCCCUUUCUCUUAUUCAGAUGGAAACCUGAACACUUAAAAAUGUUUAUAUAAUUAUUAGCUUUACUAACAGCAGAAAUAUAUUGAAAAUCCAACUGUAAAAUACUGUUCAGUGGCCAUACAUACGUUUGCAAGGCUGCAUUGGUGGCAUUGAUGAGGUUUCUAUCCGUAAUUUUCUCCAGUAUUAACAAGGCACUAGUUUCAUGACCCUAAAUAUACAGGAAACAUGGUUGUCAGAUAACACACUCAUUGAAGAAAUUGUUUUGUAUGUCUUUUUGAAGUAGUUUCUGGAGAUUUUACAGUUUGACAAAGAUCAUAUUUUAAAAAAUAGUUUUUCAUUAACAAACAAACAUGCAAAAAAGAGCUCAAAUAGAAACUGACACACCUUGCUGCAAGCCAAAUGGAGUGCUGUGUUUUUACUGCUAUCUUGCAAGGUCAGAUCAGCCUUAGCACUGCUAACCAGCACCUCUGAAGGAAAUAAAACUUUGCAUUAACUAAAAAGUGUGUUUCUAAAGGAAUUAUCUAUUUUCCACUUUAUAAAAUGAAGAUUAAAACCUAAAAUAAUACACUUUUAAUAAAUGUGUGAAUGCAUAACAUGUUAUUUUAAAACAACAUCUAUAGUAGAAUAUUACUGUACAUUAUUAAAAGUUAAAGUAGAAGAUAUUUAAGCUCUCUCUUUACCA